rnacentral:rRNA from 1 species
AUUGAACGCUGGCGGAAUGCUUUACACAUGCAAGUCGAACGGCAGCACGGACUUCGGUCUGGUGGCGAGUGGCGAACGGGUGAGUAAUGUAUCGGAACGUGCCCAGUCGUGGGGGAUAACGUAGUGAAAAUUACGCUAAUACCGCAUACGAUAUAUGGAUGAAAGCGGGGGAUCGCAAGACCUCGCGCGAUCGGAGCGGCCGAUAUCAGAUUAGGUAGUUGGUGGGGUAAAGGCCCACCAAGCCAACGAUCUAUAGCGGGUCUGAGAGGACGACCAGCCAAACUGCAACUGCGAAACGGUCCAGACUCCUACGGGAGGCAGCAGUGGGGAAUUUUGGACAAUGGGCGAAAGCCUGAUCCAGCCAUUCCGCGUGCAGGAUGAAGGCCCUCGGGUUGUAAACUGCUUUUGUACAGAACGAAAAGGUUUCUACUAAUACUAGGAGCUCAUGACGGUACUGUAAGAAUAAGCACCGGCUAACUACGUGCCAGCAGCCGCCGUAA